rnacentral:rRNA from 1 species
UUGCCAGCCCGCUCAGAAACUCAAAGGAAUUGACGGGGCCCGGCACAAGCGGAGGAGCAUGUGGUUUAAUUCGAUGAUACGCGAGGAACCUUACCUGGGCUCGAACGUAAGAUGACUGUAGGUGAAAGCUUACAUCUCUUCGGAGCAUUUUACGAGGUGCUGCAUGGUUGUCGUCAGCUCGUGCCGUGAGGUGUCGGGUUAAGUCCCAUAACGAGCGCAACCCCUACCUUUAGUUGCCAUCAGGUAAUGCUGGGGACUCUAAAGGAACUGCCUACGCAAGUAGUGAGGAAGGCGGGGAUGACGUCAAAUCAGCACGGCCCUUACGUCCAGGGCUACACACGUGCUACAAUGGCCGAUACAGAGGGCAGCUACCUGGUGACAGGAUGCAAAUCUCCAAAGUCGGUCUCAGUUCGGAUCGGAGUCUGCAACCCGACUCCGUGAAGUUGGAAUCGCUAGUAAUCGCGCAUCAGCCAUGGCGCGGUGAAUACGUUCCCGGGCCUU